UUUUGCAGGGUGUUUGCCUCAUGACUUGGAAUUGGCCAUUCUGUGUCAGGUUCUUCCUACAUAUAAGUACAUGAGAGCCUGACUAACAUUAAUGAAUUUUUCCUCACAACUCCCCAUUAAGUGUUUAUCUGGCUCAUUAGCUGGGUGUGUCAGGAAGUCUGCUGAGAUCAUAACGGAGUCCUAUCAUCUGGCUGGGAUCUUCAAUGAGCCCUCUGGUUUUGUCCCACCCUGAGGCAAUCACUUGGCUUUUUGUGAAGCAGCCGCAGCCAACAAGGUAAAAGGUUCCAUGGAAGAGGUUGUAUAUUCCUCUGGACUGUUCUUGUGAACUGAGGGAUCAAGGCUGUGAUGGGGUAUCUGUUGUCAACAGGAAAAGGGCAGAGAGCUGAGAUCUAGACUAGCAAUUAUUUUACUUGGGUGAAAAGAAAAAAAGGAGAAUCGUAUUUAUAUGAUUAUGAUUUUGUAUUAAAUCAGUACCUUGGAAAAUAUACUGACUCCAGCUUCAAUGAGGCAUUGGAGUGGAAGACUUUCAAAUUAAUAUCUAAGUGGGACUGGACAUAUUGUAAAGUAACAGCAAGACAAUGUCUUAAUAAGAUUCCAGAUUGAAAAAUGGUGUUGAACUUGACUCCCUACACUUUGUGCAUUAGGUUUACAGGGAGUUUCAACUCUAUUCAGCUUUGCUAAAUACGCAGACUUGGUUCUGUCAUUAGGAGUGUGUUUUUACUCAUUAAAUGGAAGACUUGGAAGAAACCUUUGUCACCUUUAUAAUAAGUAAGCGAUGUAAGUCAUUCAUAUGUCACUUCUAGCUAUCAGGUUGCCAAGAACUAGCUGUCAGUUUUUCUCUGAGGUGACUACUGUCUAUUCCCAUUAUGGGAUGUGCUCUGUUGGUGCUGCUGAACAUUGGGAACUUCCUGGAAGACCGUGCCAGUUGAGGCUGCAUGAGUAUCCUCUCAUCGCACCGGUAUAACAUGGCACCUCAGUUCCUUCUUUUCUGCAAUUUGUUAUGCGUGAGAAGACUUUCUCUCAAUACACAUUGCAGUUUCAGGGGAUGUUUUUUAUGAGCCUCUGGCUAACUUUUAUAGUUAAUUUGUAUACCAGUUUCUCAUUCUCUCUUGAGAUAUAAGAGAAGAUUUUUUUCAGCUUCCUUGGUCACUUGAGACUCCCCCAAGCUCCUUUCCCUUAUUUUCACUUCAAUCCAUGGGCUGUAUGGACUUACUGGCAAGGUUAAGUAUUUCUGAACCCUCCUUCAGAUGCAGAAGGAAAAGAAAAUAUACAAUAACCCACUCCUCCUAACCAGCAAGAUGGGACUCCUUCUGGCUCAACAUCUGAUGAUGAUGUAGUCAUCUCCUUAUUUGUUUCACUUUCUAACAAUUUCAGACAAAUCCAGGAGUUGCUGAAAUAUAUGGCAGAGUCUCUCGAAUUGGAAACUUCAACUAUCCUGGAUAAGACGCACCAGCCCUUGAACAUCCAUGAGUCCAAAGAGAAAAAGCAAAUUCAUUCCAUUAGCGCUGAGCUGCUUGACCCAUCAGAGGACACCCUGUUGACACCAACACAUCUAAAAAGAAAAGUCAUCUUUAUCAACUGAUCAAAUAUGGAUGCCAGUAGUUCCAUUAAUUUCCUACUGUUCUUCUCAAAACUUCAGUCUCACUCAGAAGAAAUUAGACUUAAUGUUUAAUGUUGAGAGGACUUUGAGUUUUAUUUGGAUAUGACUCAGACAUAUAGGAUAUCAGAGACUUUUUGUAGCCUUUAAGGAUCAGCAUAAAGAGGAUGAAUGUCACUUACACUAUAAAUACCUGUACAUUUUGUUAUAUGUUAGGUAGAAUGUCAGUACCCUACAGUCAUGUCUCACUCUACCAGGGCUAAGGUGGCAUCAAUGGCAUGCCAUUGAUGGUGUUUUCAUCACAGAAAUCUGUAGGGGUGCUAUCAAGAGUUACAUGCCAGUACAAUCUUGUCUUGGCAUUUAGAUCUGAUACAAGUUUAAGAGGGCAGUUCUUCAAUCCUUGCUUAGUUACACCUCCUCAGUCUGCCCUCCUGGGGGCUGUACUGCUCAAUUGACUUCUACAAGUGGGACUAGGCACAAGCCAUUUGGUAGAAGGUACCAACCUAUUACUUACCAUAGUAACUACAGUUCCUUGAGAAUGCUGCCUCUGCAUAUUUACACAACAAACCUGCCCACCUUCCUCUCAGUUCUGUUCUCAUAAUAAGACUCUUGGGUUUAGUGGAGAGAACUGAGACAGUUGUGGCUGCAGAGACAUAUUAUAAUCUUGGCUCUGAUUGGUUGGUUUUCCAAGAGGGCAAUCCUUAUCAGAAGACCCCCAAAGCUCUGUAACACAGGCUGACAUUGGGAAUGGAGCGCACAAGUGUGAGUAUACAGAAGCUACACUCUCAAAAAACCAUAGUUACUAUAAUAAAUCUUUCUUUUUCUCCCCCCUCCCAAAGACUAUAGUAAUAAGGGCUUAUGAUCUGUGCAAACAGUGAUACAUACUGCAUUUAGUGAAUUGAUAUGUAUGCUAUGGAUAAUAUUUUCAACACCAAACAACAUACAAAUUAAAAUAGCAAUAGCCAGAGAAUGUUUAGGUUUACCUUAGAUUCAGUACAGGCAGGGCAGAGAAGAGCUCAGUUCACCUUAUACACUGGUAAAGGUAGAGGGUCACUCCAGAAUGGCCCUUCCAGUUGACUGAAUCCCAAUAAUGGCUUCAGAGAAUAAUCUUGUCCAGUUAUAUUUCACUAAAACUUUGGUAUGCAUGGUGUGGUGUCUUGAUGAUGCAGAUGUAUGGGCAGGGGGUUGAAACAGAAGAAACAGGAGAUCCUCAGGAAUCCAGCAAUGAUACAGAAGACCCAAUUUCCCUGCUCCUUGGAGAAAAAAUACUUACCAGGCAGGCAUUUCUAAGCUCUUGCACUUCAAAACAGACUAUAAUUAUUGAGGAAAUUAACUUCACAGCUAAAGAUUGUGGCUUCAUGAUAAUUUAGAGUGGGAAGGAUGUUUUCUAAGCAAUCUAUUUUUUUUUCUUUUUGGUUGUCACUUAAUGGCUUUCAUUAAAACCAAUAACAGAAAUUGCUUCUCUUUAAAUUUCCAACUGAGUCUCAGUUUAGUUGUUAAACUUUUUUUGAACAAUAUAUUAGUAUUAUGCUCUAGUGACUUUCCUUAUAAAAGAAAUAAAUCUCUUUUACAGUUUAUUCUUUGCAGCACUGGAAACAGUGAAAAAUAUAUAUGAUGUUGCUGACUUCUUGUUAAAUAAUUGUGGAUGCCAACUCUAGUUGCCAGGCACAGUCUUUCCACUCAGAUGCAUAGCAACUUAUUCAGGUCUUUUUUCUCCCUCCAAGGGAAGCAAUACAUUAUCUUUGGAGUCAAGAGGAGGUUAGCAAACAGCAGAGACUUAAAUUUCCAUUACUAGCAAACUAGCUACCUCCUGCUUUUCCCAGUUCAGCCUGCAGCUAGAAAAUAUAUUGACUUUCAGGAGAAUUUGUCUUCAUAUUCAUAAAUUGCAUGUUCUACAUUUUAGUUGUUUGAUAAUGAUAGUGGACAAAAGAAGGAAUCAAUAAAUCAUACUACUGUGCUCCCAUCCACUCUGUUUGUCCUCUUUUAUUAAAGUUUUAGAUCAGCAAAUCUUCAGAUGGAAAAUUGGAGACAGUCUGUAACUAUAGGCCUGAUACUUCUCUCAUUCAAAUUAGGGGGAGUUUUGCCACUGAGUUCAAUGGAAGCAGGAGCAGGCCCUGUGUGAGGUCCUUACAUUAAAUGCUAUAGGCCAAAUUCUUUGGUCCUCACUCAAGCCAAAUUCUGCCCUGCUUGGGUUAAUGCGGUGUAAGGAGUGGAACAUUUGAAUUUCAGCUCAUAGGGUUUCUUUGUAAUUCUUCCUACCAUGGUGGCAAAAGGAGGGUGUCUGCCCUCACCCUCCCGUUCCCUUGGGAUAUAGAGAGACAAGACAUUUAAUGAGAAACAUAAGAACAAACCAGUAAUCCUAUUUCAAAUGCAUUGCCCUAAAAUAAAACAUUGAGAACAUAGUAGAAAACAUGUAAAUAAUUUUGCUAAACCAGGGACUGUCCCUCCUUAAUGAGCAGGGUCAUCUGGUUUCCAUAAUGUGAAUACAAAUGUAAACCAAAAAAACUUUCUAAAUCAUUUCAAAAGGAAUAGAGCAAUUAGAUUUUUGCAGAGUUUCCGUACAAUAUGCUUGUGAAGGGAAGGAACCUACUGGGUAGCUUCUGAAAAGAUCACAUUGUCCUCUAGAAACUGUCUUUAAAAACAAUUACUUGCAAUCCUCUCUUUCGCUCCUUUUGAUAUGAGAACACUUCAUCAAGAACAAAGCCACAUCAGUUUUAAGAAAUAACGUAAAUGCAGUUUUGCAGAAAUGAAAGAUAUGCUGCAGAAUACAUAAAAAGUGAACACCAUAGCAACCCAAACAGAAUUACAUGAAUACACAAAAAUAAAAUGAAAAUAGCAUUUUGCAUUAUAAGUUCACAUUUACUGAAGCAGUAAAGAGUCACAUGACCUUGCAUCUAGCCCUUUGGAUAGCAAUAGAACUUGCUUUGACAGCCAGCCCAAAAAAUAUUGCACUUUCACAGAGAAGAGAGAGUGCUAAAAUUGAUCCAGGCCUUGAGUAAUGCUGAUGAAACUUGUUUGUGUGUGAUGACUAUUUCAAUCAAAAUGUGAUAUGUAAAAGCUUUUAUUUCAACAAUCCCAACCCAUGUAUGUUAUCAAAAUGGAGAUUGGAAGUUGGGAGGGAGGGGGAAUACUAAAUAUCUGUGUCUGACUUCCAACUUUGAUUGUCUGUGAGAUUGUAUGCAGGAUUGUAGUCACUAUAAAAGACAAAUAUUUUAGAAACAUGUAAAUUGUCACAACUCAUAAGGUAACACUGAAGGCAUGAGGCUUGUGCAUGCUUAAGCGGUGGAGAGUCUUACACCAGAGACCAGAUUUAUAUAGAAAACAAUUCUAGAAAACCAUACGCAAGAAAAAAGUCAUGAGUGGAGACUGUAGUUUUGGAAUGUGUGCAUCACUUAAUACAUAAUUGUGUUGUGGUCACAAACAUUGCUGAACGUCAGACAAUAUGGCCAGCAGUUAAAUUCCUGAAAUAGUGUGGCAAAAUCUUCUUGUAUUAGAAAGCUUUCUAUCAUGUACUUCUAAAUCGCAUUACCAUGUGUUUUCACUAAGAUGGUACAAACCCUGUUAAUAUGGUUGC